UGCAAUGCGUCUGAGCUCCGUA
rnacentral:miRNA from 13 species